rnacentral:rRNA from 1 species
UACGUAGGUGGCAAGCGUUGUCCGGAUUUAUUGGGUUUAAAGGGUGCGUAGGCGGUUCUAUAAGUCAGUGGUGAAAUCCGGCAGCUCAACUGUCGAUGUGCCAUUGAUACUGCAGAACUUGAGUACAGACGAGGUAGGCGGAAUUGACGGUGUAGCGGUGAAAUGCUUAGAUAUCGUCAGGAACACCGAUGGCGAAGGCAGGUCACUGGGCCGCAACUGACGCUGAGGAGCGAAAGCAUGGGGAGCGAACAGG